rnacentral:lncRNA from 1 species
UUGCCCAUUCUUCAAAUCGUUGAAAACACAGCAAAACAGUGAAGAAAAAGAAAAAGAACAAAGAAAGAGAGAAACGACUUACCAUUUAUCUAGAGAGAGCGAGAAAUAGUGAGUUCGUAUCCUUUUCUUCCCCAGUUGGAUAUCUUCAAGCGUUUUGCACUACGGAGUCACGAUUCACGGAGGCCGACGGUUGAAAAAUGAAAGGCCUCGGACGGCAGGCGGAGUCACGGAGGCUAGAGAGCGGGCGAUUGAAAAAUGAAGAUGAAAUUGAAAAUUUUGAAUUGAUUCUGGG